GGUGUUUUCAGCUGGGAUCUUUCACGGUGGUGCAUGGGUUUUUCACUGUGGACAGGGGCUCCAGAGCACGUGGGCUCUCUGAUUCUGGUGCAGGGGCUUAGUUGCCUCACGACAUGUGGGAUCUUAGUUCCCCAACCAGGGACUGACCUCACGUCCCCUGCACUGGAAGGUGGAUUCUUAACCUUCCCAUGGGCCAGCAGGGAAGCCCCCUGGCUGCUGUUCUAAGCUGCCAUUUAUUCUCUCAUUUGAGCAUCUGUGGCCUUCUCGGACCCCCUCUUGCUGGACCCUUCCACUUGGAAUUCCUUUGUCUCAGGCAGUGCCUCUUUUCUAACCAGCCACCUACAAUCCCUCUCUGCUUCUCUACCCAGUAGAAUCGCCAACCACUUUUUGCCGAGGACACCUCAUUGACGACAGGAAGUCCUUUAGCUUCAAAAGAUACCUAUCAAAGAUGCCUGUGAAGCUCCCACAUGGCUAGGGUGUGGGGAGGGAGGGAGUGUCAGGAAGAAUUCACAGCUCAAGGAUUCUGGACAUGAUCAACACCUUAGCAGAUUAUAAUAAGCCUUUGUGGUUACCUGGAAAUAGGCUGAAACUAUAAAUAUUAAAGC
ensembl:lncRNA